rnacentral:rRNA from 1 species
AUUGAACGCUGGCGGCAGGCCUAACACAUGCAAGUCGAGCGAGUGGCGGACGGGUGAGUAAUGUCGGGGAAACUGCCUGAGGGAGGGGGAUAACUACGGGAAACGGGCGCUAAUACCGAAUCACAUCGGAUGCGCCCAGAUGGGAUUAGCUAGUAGGUGGGGUAACUGCUCACCUAGGCGAAGAUCCCUAGCUGGUCUGAGAGGAUGACCAGCCACACGGGAACUGAGACACGGUCCAGACUCCUACGUGAGGCAGCAGUGGGGAAUAUUGCACAAUGGGCGCAAGCCUGAUGCAGCCAUGCCGCGUGUAUGAAGAAGGCCUUCGGGUUGUAAAGUACUUUCAGCGGGGAGGCGUUACCCGCAGAAGAAGCACCGGCUAACUCCGUGCCAGCAGCCGCGGUAAUAC